AUUAAACCCUAGAGCUAAGACUAGGGAUCAGCCGCAAAAAGAGAACCCCCCAGCGUAUCUCCUUCAUCUUCUUCAUGAAGAUUGAACCUACACCCUAGCUGAAUCUCUUCAGCCGUGAACACUACUAAGACCUCCCAAAGGCGAUCUUGCAAGAUAAGUGAGAAAAGAAGUUGAAGAAAAUCUAAGAACUUUAGGUCUUCUUUCUCCCCUUCUGGAAUUCCAAGACAAAUUACGCAAACAGAAAAGAUUUUAAUUCUUGUUCUAGUUUUCUUCCUCAAAAUACAAGAAGUAGUAAAAAGAUUAUUCCCAUUUUGCUUCAGUUUUCUUAUUCGGAUCCAAAAGAAAAACCAUCAGAAUAUGUUGGUUCCUUACUGCCUUUGAUUUCGAAAAAAGAAGCUAAGAAUCAUUCAAAUAGAGUUGAGUUGAAAUAUUUUGGGUCUGUUCGGGUUUUCUAAUUUGAGCUCAGAUUUGUUCGCGACUCCAUCGAGGUGCGUCCAAGGUUUCUGAUCAUAAACAUUAUAUUCAAAGAGCUUUCACUCCUGAGGCGGAAAUAUGUAUAGACCCGCUGCAGACGGAAGGGAGAGAGACUUGGUGCGCUUAUCACGCCUCAACCAUGGCAAUGUGCUCUUUAAAGGGAUUGUCCACCUUCUUUUUGAAUUGGCAAUCAUCCCAAUGAAUUUUUAAACAUUAUCUUCACUCUUCACCGCUCAAGAAAAAAAUAAUGAAUUCAGCGAAGGUUACAAAAUACUAUGCCAAAUUACAACAGAGAGACGAAAUGUGAGCUAAAGGAAAAAAAGAAAAAGAUAUCAUUUUGCUUUUGGAACAUUAUAUAUUUUCGUUCUUCUGCUUCCAUUUCUUGCCAAAGGAAAAUUGAGGAUGAAAAGAGUGCAAAUAGUCUGAUCAGAUUCAGAGUUCAAUUCCUUUGUCAAUAAGAAAUUCUUUUUUAAUGAU